UGGGCGUGCUGGGGUGUCAUCACUUACCCUGAGCUGGUCCGUAUCACAACUCAUUGGUUGUCCUGGAAUCUGU